CUGCAGCGUACCCUGUUACACAAGAUCAGGAGCACGUCUAUUAUACCAUUAAUGACAACACACCAACCUCACAACCUGCAGGUGACCAACAAAGGACAAAGGAACCCAUCUACUACCUGGCAACUCAUCCAGGAGUCCAGAUCACAGAUACCCAGCAGAGCGUGUAUGAGGCCAUAUAACAACCCCAUAAC